rnacentral:lncRNA from 1 species
CGAAUUUGUUUUAAUCACCCAGACCGCAUCCGAAGUCCAAAUCAAGAAAACAAGUACUUGUUGGAAAGGUAAUUACAAGACCUUUCCAACGGAUCUGGCCCCAUCAAGAGAUUCGACUCAUGCUGACCGUGACAGACAAAACAAGCUGACGGAUCUGUUUUUCUGUUUCAUAAAGAAUUGUAGUUUAUUAGGAAAGUUAGAGAUAGAGUUGGAUUUCGGCCUCCUUACUCAAGGUGGACGAAAAUAUCUCUCCCUCCUUCUUUAUAUACCCCAUGAGCCCCCCUAAGGAGCCUUGGGUUUUGAUUAGAUAAAGUUUAUCCAUCUUUGCUAGUUUCCUAUAGUCGCGUGUGUCGGUUAGACCACCUGUUUUACGGUCGUCAAGACUCCAACUUAUCGUCUCGUUGAGACAUUGGUUUGAUAUAUAGUAUACUCGCAAUUUUAGAUUGCAUCCGCUAUUUAUCUUGUUCUUGCUUGUUCUUUGAUUGCUUGCAGGAACAAAGACCUUCGUGGUCAGGUUGAUCGUGCCCCCGCGUGAUCAAUAACCCUGUGGAGUUGGUGUAUCGAUUGCUAAGGCGCUGCCUUCUAGGCUGUAGUCGGAUUGUCAACGUCCCACAUCAAAAACAUGAAGCCCACGUGUCAAUGCAUAUUGUGAACCACAAAUUCGGCCGAGCCCAAGAAAUACUAGCUCCUAGAUAGGCCACGCUAACUCAACUUCCGUCCCACACCUCCGCCAGUCCACUGGUCCUUGACCGAGACCGACUCCCUCUCCUCUCGUUCUCUUCCCCCACCAGCCCCUCUUCUCGUUCUCUAUCUUCCCCACGAGGCCAAGACCGUGACCACCCUGUCAUCCCGCGACCAACCGCCGGCGGCCGGCUCCGGACAGCCCGACGCCGUCUCCUCCAACCCCCGCCGACAGGUCCCUUCCCCAAGUCCCCAUCCGCCCGCGGCCCGCCAUGGGUGCCAUGAAGUUUGAUGGCAUGGAGAACAAGACCGGCAGCGAGCAUGAAGAUGAGCACUUCCAACCACUCCGACGGUGAGCACGUCGUCGGAUCCGGCCGAGCAUCGCCCAGAGGCUCUCACCCCGACACAGAGGCUAUAUCCCAUCGCCAUGACGUAUUUCUGUGAUGUUGUUUCUUGUUGUGGCUCUCGGAUCGGGUAUACUCGCCGGGUACCCGAGACCCGAUCGGGCCGGGUCUGGUAAAUUCGAGACCCGGUGUCGGGUCCGGGUCUGGUAUGGCCCGACCCGACCCGAACCUCCCGGGUGCCAUCCAUACUCUUGAGGUUGACUCUCCAAUUUAUGACCCUCCAAUCUGUUGGCAGUGUGGUCCGUAGCCGUCAGAUCCUAGGGGCAGACGCAGGGGCAAGGGCAACGUUGAACGUGCACACGUCGGAACAAGAAUUUGAUUUUCACAAACAUUUAUAUGAAUCAUACAACGCGGCUGACGAUGGUGAUACAACUGAUUUGGAUAAAUACUUGUCGGAGACAAUAAAGCUAAGCAAAUCUAGAAGUAGUUCAACGUUGGAUAAUUUUGAUAUCCUAUCUCAGUGGAAAAGUAGUACUUGUAGAUUUCUUGUUCUCCCUCUAAUUGCUUGUGAUGUCGGCCAUAUUGCUUCAAUGUCUUCUCUUAGAACACCUCUAGAUACCGUAAAUUUCGAUUCGAAAAAACGCAUAUUCGGUAAGUUGAGUCCAUGUGUUUAGGUACCAAUUUUGCCCGAAAGAAUAGAUACCGCAUCCGUACAACCGAAUAUUCUCUUCUGGCUCCUCUCUGGCCCAUCUACUGCAGCCAGCCGGCCCACCUCAUGGCUGUCUUCUUCCUCGCGCACGAUACGAGCAUAGAAGCAUCUGUCUCGUGAAAUUAGCCAUCAAUUAGCAAGCACAAAAUUGAGGUAGCCUAAUUCUCGCAUCUGCAAGACCCGGUCGAAUCAAUUAGCAAUCAAUCCGAACCAAUUAGCUAUCAAUUAAGAAUCAAUCAGCACCUUCCCAGUCCGUCACAUCCAUGCAUGAAUACCGCGCACGAUAGAAUAGAUUAGGAAUCAAUCGAUUGCUUUCUCUGGUGCUCUCUGCGCACGAAGACCCCACACGCCUGGGAAGGGAGUGGCUCGUGCUCGCGGCCAGGGGAGGGGCCGGCGGCGGCUACAGGUGGGGGCGGGGCCAGCGGGCGCAGUGCAGAGGAGGGCACGGGGCAGGGAGGAGGUAGGGUGCGGGAGGCGGCCACAGGAGGAGCCCGCGGGGCCAGGGGAGGCAGAGGUGGGCAACGUGGCGGCAGUGGCGGCCAGAGGUGUGGAAGGACGGGGCGGCGGCCAGAGGCGCGCGUGCGGCGGGCGGAGGUGGGGAAGGAGAAGGAGGCAGCGGUGGUCGACAGAGGGGCAGCGGGUAUUGUCGGGGCAGGGCUGUCUUCGGGGGCGGCGAAGGUCACGGAGGGCUCCCAGAUUUGCUUGACGAACAUUCCCAGCUUAAUGACCAGUUGUGAGUCGCAUGAGGGCAGGCGUAGUCCUUGGUGACUUGCUUAAUGACCAGUUGUGAGUCGCCGCCGACCGCCCGCCGCCGGACCCCGAGGCCGGCCGCCUGCUUUAGCCCGGCGAUGAGUUCUUCAUACACGGCGGUGUUGUUGGUGGCGCGUCCCUUACUGAAGAGCAUCUGUAUGACGUACCGAAAUUCCUCGCCGGUCAGCGCGACAAUGUAUAACCAGCACCAGCCCCGUGAUAGGAGAAGGAGCUGUCGAAGUACAUCACCCACUCCGGGGUCCGCCUCCCCGGAAGGGCUGACAGUUCCUCCGUCUCGACCGCGGUAGAAUUGACGAAGCGCAAACCGAACCCGGCCAGUUCAGUUUGCCACUCCGCGAAAUGCCCCUUGGCCUCGGGCCCUGGCAGGACACGUUCUAGUGGGAAGCAUGUGACGACUGUGAUUGGGUGUGCUUCGAAGUAAUGGCCGAGCUUCUAGGAGGCCAAGAGGAUCCCUAAAAAGAGCUUCUGGAACUCUGGAUAACGCUCCCGGGCAUCACGCAGGACGGAGCACACAAAAUACACCGGGCGCUGAACAAGCCUCUUUUUUGGUACUUGGGCUGUUCCCCGGCCGCGGGUCCUUCCUCCUUCCGCACUGGGGCGGGAUUCACAAGGUGAACCUCCCCGGUCCCUGGCACCGUGGCCUCGCCCUCCAGCUGAAGCCUCCCGGUCUUCUUCCCGCUCCACGACGAGGACUGCGCUCACUACGCAUGUGGUGGCGGCCACGUACAGCAGCAACGGUUCGUCUCGACGCGGGGUAACCAGGACCGAAGUCGGCGCUACAUACCUUUUGAGCUCUUGUAAAGUAGCAUCCACUUCCGGAGUCCACUCGAUGGAUCCGGGUUUCUUGGGCAGCUUGAAGAAGGGCUGGGCUCGUUCCCCAAGCCUAGAGAUGAAACGCCCCAGGGCGGUGACGCACCCAUUAAGGCGCUGCACAUCCUUGAGGCACAGAGGGACUUGGAUGGCUUCGAUGGCGGCGAUCUGCUCGGAGUUGGCUUUGAUUCCCUAGUGGGACACCAGGUAUUCAAGGAGCUGCCCAGAUGGUACGUCGAAAGAGCACUUCUCGGGGUUAAGCUUGAGGUUCAUUCGCCGCAGGUUGUCGAAGGUUUCGUCCAAAUCCUCGAUCAGGGUACGCUUCUCCCCGGUCUGGACCACGAUGUUGUCGAUGUAGGCCUCCACGUUGCGGCUCAUCUGCUCCCCCAGGCAUUCGCACAUGGCUCGCUGAAAGGUUGCCCCUGCAUUCUUGAGGCUGAAAGGCAUAUAAGCGUAGCAGAAGCAGACCUCCAGGGUGACCAAGGCAGUAUUCUCUUCGUCUCCCCGGGCCAUGCAGAUCUACUGGUAUCCUGAGAAGGCGUCAAGGAAGGAGAGCAGAUCACAGCCUGCGGUGGAGUCCACAAUCUGAUCAAUCCGAGGAAGAGGGAAGGGGUCCUUGGGGCAAGCCUUGUUGAGGUCAGUGAAGUCGACACACUUCCUCCGCUUCCCGUUGGCUUUCGGGACAAUAACUGGGUUGGCCAGCCACGUUGGGUGAAGGAUUUCCCAGAUAAGCCCUUCCUUUUGCAUCUUUUGGACCACUUGGCAGAUGAACUCCUAUCGGUCUUGGGCUUGAUGACGCACACGCUGCUUGACGGGGCGCGUGUUGGGAUCCACCUUGAGUUGAUGCUCGACGACUUCUCGGAGGACCACGGGAAGGUUUGACGGGGCCCACGUGAAGACUCGGCCUUCUCCCGGAGGAACGCCAUGAGCUGGAGCUCCUGCUCCGCGUCAAGGGUGAGACGGGAUGGCUCCCAUCCGCAUGUAGAGGCACUUCCUUGGUAAACUUCUUGUUCUCCCUGAGUUUUUCUUUCAGCGGUGCCCCUUUCGCAGCGGACGCCACGGGGGGCUUCUUUUCUUCCCUCCUCGUUCCCGAUGGAGGGGCUUUUUCCAUGGCGAACCCAGCCGCAGGCUCGUUCUCUUCCCCCACCGUCUGUGGUCGAGGGCACACUUCCGCGAGGGGAGGCAUGACUCCGUCGUGUCCUUCCACGAUCAUCUCCACCUUCGCGGGGGGGGGGGGGGUACUUUGACCCACUAUGUUCUUCCCCGACCUCGCUGGGCGCGGGAGCAUCACAAUCAAUCGCCUCCCAAGAUGCGGGCUCUUUCUCUUACCCGGCCGUCUCAAGUUGAUGGCUUGCCUUCGUGGGGGGAGACGCGGACCCACUGUGUUCUUCCUCGGCCUUGCUGGGCGCAGGGCAUCACAAUCCAUCGCCUCCCUGGCAGGUCGGCCAUCUUCCCUUGCCACGCUAGGCAGAGGGGCCCAGUCACCUACACGCGGCUCCGCAUCAGUCCUCCCAGGAAUGAUGGCCUUCCGAAGGCCUCCGCCUCCGUAGACUUUUCCACUUCACGUCCGAGAGACUAGUGCUAAGCAAAGGAUCGCCUCGGACGCUUCGAACCCGGAGGGUGAUGACCCCGGCGGGCCCCGGCAUUUUCAGGACGUUGUAGGCGACGUGCGACACGGCUCUGAAUUUGGGCAAUGCUGGGCGCCCAAGGAUGCCGUUGUAGGGCAGAGGGAUGUCUGCCACUGUCGGAGCCUGAAACUCCGGCACCGGGGAUCUUGGACACCCCCUUUUUUGUUCGGUGGAGGGCGAAGGGGAUCGCUCCGGCGAUCGCUAGCGUGAUGAAAGACAUGAAGUGUGGACACGUGAGUUUACCCAGGUUCAGGCCACCUGGAGGUGUAACACCCUACGUCCUGCUUUGUGUUGUAUUCAUGAGUUUGAGUGCGUACAGGUUGCCGGGGGGUUCCCAGGCUUUGCUACUUGUCCCUCUUAGGGUUAGGCUACUUGGAUGAAUACUGAGCUAAACUCUAAUGGAUUCGUACCCUUUGACUGGUUGCAUUGGUUCUCCUUUUAUAGUCAAGGGGAUGCCACAAGUGCUGAUGAAUGCAACGUGACACGUUCACUACACGUGUGUCAUUGCCACAAAACUUACUCUACUAUUGAUCCUCGUCGGGCUCCAUGCAGCGCCCACGCCACUGUACGUGGUAAAUAAAAUGAAUCGUAGGGUAGCCGCUCUAGACCUGCCGAUGUGACUCCUGUUGGUGCAUUAAAUGCACCGUCUCCUCUGUCUUUGAUACAGAACUGCACCUGACAAUGGGCAUCUGACAACAUUCCCGUGUCGCACAGACUGCGAAACACACCCGAAGCCACAUGCAUAACGUGAAGGUAAGUGACGAAGGGGUGACUUCGACAAUGUCCAUAUUGAUGGACUUGUAUCUAGGAAAGAUUUCGAGUGUGUGUGUUGGCGAACUAGUCGGCUAAUAAGGACACAGGGAACACGAUUUACCCAGGUUCAGGGCCCUCGAUGAGGUAAUACCCCUACGUCCUGCUUGUUUGAUCUGUAUUUGAAGAGUCGAUUACAAUGGGGUGCCGCAGAUUAUAGAUGCACAGAUUCGAUCUGGCGAGUGUGUCUAGGCGACUUCUAUCUAAGCUGGGUCUCCUCUUGGCUCCCCCUGCUGGUCCUUUAUAUAUGCAGGAACACAGGUGUAAGGUAGAGUCCAAGUCGGUUACAAUGAAGAAAUAUACUCUAAUUAAUCUUCCUUAUCUUGAGUCGCAAGAUUUGGUAAGUAGACUACUGGAGUCGUAGUAGGCUUCCUUGUGGGCCCCCACCUGGGCCGUAACAGGUAUACUCGAGUCGGGUACGUGGUUAGUCAUAACCACGUCAGUAGCCCCCAAGUGACUAGUUGAGUCGAAGACUUGAGUAGGGAUUUUCCCCAUGAAGAAUGAACUCAUUUUGCUGUUGAGCCAGUUGCAUAGUGCUGCAACCUUGGUAUUUCAUUGAGUUGAACUUCGAAUGAGAAGCGUUUCGACCCAGAGAAUGUCCGAGCCGAUGUUUUAGUGUUCGACUGUUAAGUAACAGUUUCACCAUAUGAUUUUGAUACCAGGUCAAAUCAAUAUGCAAUGAGAAGGGGUCAUAGGGACAUAUGCUUAAUGUGUCCAGAUAUUCGAGAAGUCGAGUCCAGUUAAUCACUCUAGGGCGAAUACGACACUAGCUGUCUUUAGUAUUCGAGUCCCCGGGCUCGAACCUGUCAAGUGGCGAAAUUCGACUUAGUCUACUGGGAUCUUAUAGAGUCGAACUCCAAUUUUUAAGUACUCAACUCAUUCAUCAAGAUUGUGUACACUGGAAAUAUGCAGCUGGUACGUUUCCAGGCCCUAUAGGAAGCCUAUGGGUCUUAUCUUCAUGUAAUGAACAUGACUGUAGGGAGUGACCCUUAAGUGAGAAUUAUUACUGAAGGGAUGCAGUCGAUGCAUAUCCGGGCCUAAUUUUUAGGGCUUACCUUCAUACAAUGAGUAUGGAUUCGACUGGAAUAACGUAGCGGGUACAAUUCCAGGCCCGAUAGAAAACUUUUGGGUCUUAUCUUCAUGCAAUGAUCAUGGGUUUGCUGAAAUAACGCAGCUGGUGUGAUUUCAGCCUCGAUGGAAUGAUCCAUGAGACUUAUCUUCAUCCAAUGAGCACGGGUUAACUAGAGCGACGCAGCUGGUGCGGCUCCAGGCUCUGCGGAUAAAAUCCACGAGGCUUAUUAUUAUGCGAAUGAGCACAAACAACUGAGGUGACGCAGCUGGUGCGACUCAAUUGUGUCGAUUGUAUGAAAUCGACUAUUUUAUGUUAGGAUCGUUGUCCUGAUUUUACUAAUGUAAGUAAAAGGUAAACAAUAGCUGACUGUAUGAAGUCUUUAACCAAUACAAACCAACAGUUGGCUAUUUAGCGACUCGAAUGAGAGUCCUUGUAUUCAAAAUCGAGACUCAAGGUGAGUCUCAACAUUUUUAUGAUAAACUCCGUCAUCCUGUAUGAAAGAUAGUUUCGAGUCAUGAUAUUAGAGUCAGACUUCGUCAUAGAUGACGUACCUGUUGAAGGUGAAAAGCCGUUUGGUCAGCCGAUGUGACUGGGUGCACAGGCUAGCCUGACAGCUAGGCGCACUGUUUGGCGUGCGUCAGUGGGACAACGAUCACACUUCGCGCAGUAAAUAAGGCAUAAUGAUUUCAUCGAUUCUUGCACUCGGAAUGUAGGUGGCCGUUUCUGUUUUCACCGCUUCGUAUCCCGAUCGAUGUGGGACACGUGGCCAAGAUAAGGAUCUUGCGGCCCGAAUUCUUCACCAGGGUUCGGCUUAUAUAAAGAGGAGGGUGGAAAGGUGAUAGCCUCGAGGGUGUCCUGAUCUUUCGAUGAGAUACCUAAUUAUCGAUUUGGUAGGAGGUGACGUUGACGAUCCGACUACAACCUAGGAGGCAGCGCCUUAGCGAUCGAUACACCAACUCCAGAAGGUUAUUGAUCCCGCGGGGGCACGAUCAAUCUGACCACGAAGGUCUUUGUUCCUGCAAGCAAUCGAAGAACAAGCAAGAACAAGAUGAAAAAAACAAUCUGAAAUUGCGAAUAGGAGAUAUGAAGGUUCACGAAUCUGAAUACUCAAUAUAGUUGGAGUCUUGAUGACGGUAAAACAGGUGGUCUAACCGACACACGCGAUUACACGAAAGUAGCAAAGGCUAAACUUUAUCUAAUCAAAACCCAAGGCUCCAUGGGGGGGCUCAUGGGGUAUAAAUAGGAGGGGAACUAGGUGGUUUUCGGACAGCCCCUUGAGGGACUCCGAAACGGCCUAGGAAUCCUCCUAAAACACAACGAAAACAUCUAAAAAUUGGCUGGACCCUAUUAUAUGGCCUUAGGCCCAAUAAAGCAAGGUUAUAACCCUCAUCUUUGGCCCACAGAUACCCAUUGGAGGGAGAAUCCUCCACUUGGCCGAAAUCCCAUUGAUGAAGAGGAUGCGGCCUUCUUCUCAUCUCUCGUUAUGGCGGUUUCAAUGUUCUGAAAUCAUCACUUGAGCUAGCUCCCGCCACCUUGCUGCCACCUCCAUGGUUUGCUGUCCAACGCUGAUCCUUGAGGUGCAAGUUAGGUCCUUCAUUCCUAAAACACAUAAAAGAACCCAUCUUAGGCAGCAGCAUAUUCUCAUUAAUAUUAAAUGAAGUACCGAGCAACGAAAGUACCUGAUAAUUUAGUUGUCGUGCACGAGCUCUAGUAAUUGGUCCGUGUAUCUCCGGUACUUGAGGUGUAUGUGCUGUAGGGGCUGUGGUUGUAUCAUUAGUUGGGAUGUCCUCAUCAUCCUCCCCUUCUUGAAUCGAAGUCGUCCUCGAUGGUAGUUCAUCUUCUUCUCCCAAAUAAGGCUUCAAAUCUGCAAUAUUAAACGUGGGACUAACCCCAAAAUCUGCAGAUAGCUCAAGUUUAUAUGCAUUAUCAUUAAUUUUUGCUAACACCUUAAAGGGACCAUCAGCUCGUGGCAUUAACUUAGACUUGCGCAAAUCAGGGAAACGAUCUUUGCGCAAAUGCAACCAAACAAGAUCUCCAGGUUCAAACACAAUUUGUUUUCUGCCCCUAUCUCCCGCAAGUUUAUACUUAGAAUUCAUGCGCUCAAUGUUCUCUUUAGUCGUCUCAUGCAUUUUUAUUAUAAGUUCAGCACGUUCCUUAGCAUCAAAGUUAACUUUUUCAGAAGUUGGCAAAGGUAACAAAUCAAUUGGUGCACGAGGCAUAAAACCAUAAACAAUUUCAAAAGGGCACAAUUUUGUGGUUGAAUGCAGUGAACGAUUAUAAGUAAAUUCAAUAUGAGAUAAACAUUCUUCCCACAUUUUCAAGUUCUUCUUUAAAACAGCCCUAAGCAUAGUAGAUAAUGUUCUAUUAACAACUUCAGUUUGUCCAUCUGUUUGGGGAUGACAUGUAGUACUAAAAAGCAGUUUAGUCCCCAACUUAGCCCAUAAACAUCUCCAAAAGUGGCUAAGAAAUUUUGUGUCACGAUCUGAAACUAUAGUAUUGGGCACAUCAUGCAAGCGAACAAUUUCACGAAAGAAUAAAUCAGCAACAUUUGUAGCAUCAUCGCUCUUAUGACAAGGUAUAAAAUAUGCCAUCUUAGAAAAUCUAUCAACAACAACAAAUAUGCUAUCCCUCCCCUUGUUAGUUCGAGGCAAUCCCAAAACAAAAUCCAUUGAUAUAUCUUCCCAAGGAACAUUAGGAACAGGGAGAGGCAUAUAUAAACCAUGAGGAUUGAGUCGUGACUUAGCUUUUUGACAUGUAGUGCAGCGAGCGAUAAAUCUCUCAACAUCCCGUCUCAUCCGAGGCCAAAAGAAAUGAUCAGCGAGCACAUCUUCGGUCUUCUUCACGCCGAAGUGACCCAUCAACCCUCCUCCAUGUGCCUCCUGUAACAACAAAAGACGAACGGAGCUAUCUGGGAUGCAUAGCUUGUUAGCACGGAACACAAAUCCAUCAUUAAUGACGAACUUGUUCCAUGUUCUGCCCUCUUUACAAUGCUGCAAAACAUUCUUAAAAUCUGCAUCAUGUUCAUAUUGUUCUUUUAUAGUCUCCAAUCCAAAUAUCCGAAAAUCAAGCUGAGAUAACAAGGUAUAACGACGUGAUAACGCAUCAUCAAUAACAUUAUCUUUACCCUUCUUAUGUUUAAUAACAUAGGGAAAAGACUCAAUAAAUUCAACCCAUUUAGCAUGACAACGGUUCAGCUUUGCUUGACUACGAAUAUGCUUCAAAGAUUCAUGAUCAGAAUGUGUAACAAAUUCUUUGGGCCAUAAAUAAUGUUGACAUGUUUCUAAAGUCCGAACGAGAGCAUAUAAUUCCUUAUCAUAAGUAGAAUAAUUCAGACUAGGCCCACUCAAUUUUUCACUAAAGUAUGCAACAGGUUUUCCGUCUUGUAACAACACACCUCCUAAACCGAUUCCACUAGCAUCACACUCCAACUCAAAAGUCUUAUUAAAAUCAGGAAGUUGGAGUAAAGGAGCAUGUGUCAACUUAUCUUUCAAUAUGAGAAAAGCUUCUUCUUGUGCAGCGCCCCAUACAUAUGGAACGUCCUUCUUUGUGAGCUCAAUAAGCGGUGCAGCAAGGGUGCUGAAAUCCUUUACAAAAUGGCGAUAAAACCCAGCGAGUCCAAGAAAUCUCCUCACUUGGGUGACCGUUGUUGGAGUUGGCCAGCUUUGAAUAGCGUCGAUCUUGGCCUUAUCACCUUCUAUGCCCUGUGGAGUGACAACAUAGCCAAGAAACGAAACUCGAUCGGUGCAAAAGGUGCACUUCUCAAGGUUACCAAACAAACGUGCAUCUCUCAAAGCAUCAAAAACAGCACGUAAAUGAUUCAAGUGGUCUUCUAAAGAGCUGCUGUAAAUCAAUAUAUCAUCAAAAUAAACCACCACAAAUCGUCCUAUGAAAGCACGUAAAACUUCGUUCAUUAACCGCAUGAAAGUGCUAGGUGCGUUAGUAAGACCGAAAGGCAUGACUAACCACUCAUAUAGUCCAAACUUAGUUUUAAAUGCUGUUUUCCAUUCAUCGCCUAAUUUCAUUCGAAUUUGGUGGUAACCACUACGUAAAUCAACUUUAGAGAACACGGUAGAGCCACUUAAUUCAUCUAACAUAUCAUCAAGUCUAGGAAUUGGGUGACGAUAGCGAAUAGUAAUGUUAUUAAUAGCUCUACAAUCUACACACAUACGCCAAGAACCAUCUUUCUUUGGUACCAAAAUAACAGGAACAGCACAAGGACUAAGGGAUUCACGAAUAUAACCUUUGUCGAGCAAUUCUUGAACUUGUCGUUGAAUCUCCUUCGUCUCCUCUAGAUUGGUACGGUAGGGCACACGGUUGGGCAGCGAAGCACCAGGAAUUAAAUCAAUUUGAUGUUCAAUCCCUCGAAUAGGUGGUAAUCCUGGUGGUACGUCUUGUGGAAAGAUGUCGGUAUACUCCUGCAAAACGUGAGUAACAGCAGGGGCAAAGAGGGAGGCAUAUCCUCAAAUGAAAACAAAGCCUCUUUGCAAAUGAAUGCAUACCAAACAGAAUUAUUCAUAUCUAACUCAGAAAUAUCGGAUUUACUUGCAAGCAAGCAUGCACCUUUCAAUUUAAUUUCAUUAACAUGUUUCGGUUCAGAUUUGCUAGUAGACGCUUGGUGCUUAAAUUCUUUAGCGACAUUAUGGUUCUCACUCUUAUUCUUCUCUUUGCUCUUUGCUCUACUAGCUCUAGCAAGAUCAUCUUUCACAAUUUGUUCAGGAGUCAUAGGUUUCAAACCAAUUUUCUUACCAGCAUGCAUAAAAGAAUAAUGAUUAGUUCUACCAUGAUGAACAGAAUCUGUAUCAUAUUGCCAUGGACGACCGAGUAACAUAGAACAUGCUUGCAUAGGUACCACAUCACAAUCCACAAAAUCAGAAUAUGUACCAAUAGUAAAGUGUGCACGGACUGUUCUAGUUACCUUGAGCUUACCGCUGUUGUUAAACCAUUGAAUGUAGUAAGGGUGGGGGUGCGGCCUGGUGGUAAGAACAAGUUUUUCCACCAUCUCCGUGCUGGCCAAAUUAUUGCAACUUCCCCCAUCUAUGAUGAUACGAACAGCGCGCUCCUUGAUGACCCCUUUUGUUUGGAACAAGUUAUGCCGCUGAUUUUGUUCGGCGUGGCUCAUUUGGACGCUCAAGGUGCGUUGUGCAAUCAAACUCAAGUACUGAUCAGCGGCUUCAACUCCCAUUAACUCCUCGUCAUGGUGGGCAGCGGGGUCUUCUUGCUCUUCCUCGGCAAUGAGAGCAUAGGUAGUUUCGUCAAAAUCACUGGCUGAAUCAUAUACUCCGUCUUCACGUAUGAUCAUAACGCGUUUGGUUGGACAGUCCCGCUGAAAAUGCCCGUAUCCUUUGCACCUACGACAUUGGUUAUCUCCGGUCCGUCCGGUGGAAGCAACGGACGCUGCUGAACUUUGUGCAGAGGCAGCGGGUGUAUUUCUUGUUGCUGCUGGUCCAACCUUUGCGGAUGUAGGUGUAGAGGUACUUUGCUUGUUGGUGGAAGUAGUCGGAACAGCCGGACAUGUAGGGGGUGCAACUGGGCGUGUGGAAGGGGCAGCGGGGCUGCGUGCUGCCCAUGAGGAAGUACGACCUGCAGAAAAGUUAGUCCGCGCGUUCGCGUGUCAUCCCUGCACUUCCCUUUCAGCUUUGCAAGCAAUGUGAAACAAUCGAUUGAUAGAAUUAUACUCCUUAUAAUCAACAAUGUCAGCAAUUUCACGAUUUAAACCACCAAAGAAUCUAGACAUAGCAGCUUCCUCAUUCUCAACUAAACCACAACGUAACAUGUUCUUUUGCAUUUCUUGAUAAUAAUCUUGGACAGAAUUACUACCUUGCCUUAAUUGUUGUAGUUUCUUUAACAAGUCACGCGAAUAGUAUGAAGGAACAUAUCUAACACGCAUAAUUCUUUUCAAAUCAUCCCAUGUUGGUGGUAUAGCGUUAGGAUGUGCAAUACAAUACUCAUGCCACCAAACAGAAGCAAAAUCAGUAAACUCACUAGUAGCAGCCCUAACCCUCUUAUUAGCAGGAAAAUCAUGGCAAGUAAAUUUUUGACUCAAUUCUAAUUCCCAUGUAAGGUAAGCAUCAGGGUCAUAUUUUCCAUCAAAAGGAGGAACCUUAAGCUUAAUAGAAUGCAGCAAGUCAUGUUCCUCUCUGUGAGGUCGUGUCGGUCCCAUACCUCGGCGGUUGAAACGAGUUCGGCGAUGAUCACGGUCGUUGUGAUGGUUUACGGCCCCGUCGUGUUCCGUAUCCGCGGAGUAGUCGUCGUCGUUCUACUCAACCUCGCUUGCGAAGGUACCGUUAUUAGCGGUCCGCUGGUUGUGUGUAUUGUUUCCUCCCGGUGUAGCGAUGGUCGUUGCAGCAAUUGCCGAGUUGGUAUGCAAAAGAUACGUCCGUUUUACUGAACACGGGUCAAACCCACCCGAAACUAAAAUUCUACUCGGACUCGGGUCCGAAACUGACUCGAACUCUUUCUCUUUUUUUUUCGUUUUUUUUUCUUUCUUUCUUCCUUUUUUUUUCUUUCCCUUCUUUUUUUUUCACAACUUUCCGAACAACUUGAUCUCUAAACAAAAUUCGAUCUAUUAUGAAACACUUUCCAAAAGCACUCUUGAUUGGACUCGGACUCGAACUCGCGGCUGAAAACUAUAACUUCCUGACUCGAUGUAGGACUCGAAGAGGGACUCGGUGUAGGACUGGAAGACGGACUCGGUGUAGGACUUGAAGAGGGACUCGGUGUAGGACUCGAAGAGGGACUCGGUGUAGGACUCGAAGAGGGACUCGGUGGAAGAUAUGGUGGCGGCGGAAGAUUAUGGCGGUGGUGUGGCAGGAAGUUUGGCGGCGGAAGAUUGAUGAAGGAAACCUGCGUCACACGAAGAACAAGAAAACCAAAAGCAAGUUCGAUCUAGUAGAAAAAAUCUGAAAAACGAUCAAAUCUAAUCCAGCAACUCGACACGAUUAAUGCAGCAAAGAUUCAACAAUGCAAAUACUAAUGUGAAAAUUGCAAGGCUCAGAUUGGUUCUAGGACAAGGUAACUAUUUCUAAUUUUUGUUUGGCUUUUUCUGGACGAUAGGUAAAAACAGAUCUAAACUACGGAUAAACUGGAAAACUCUCACCGAGCAACCUUAAGCUCUGAUACCACGUGAUAGCCUCGAGGGUGUCCCGAUCUUUCGAUGAGAUACCUAAUUAUCGAUUUGGUAGGAGGUGACGUUGACGAUCCGACUACAACCUAGGAGGCAGCGCCUUAGCGAUCGAUACACCAACUCCAGAAGGUUAUUGAUCCCGCGGGGGCACGAUCAACCUGACCACGAAGGUCUUUGUUCCUGCAAGCAAUCGAAGAACAAGCAAGAACAAGAUGAAAAAAGCAAUCUGAAAUUGCGAAUAGGAGAUAUGAAGGUUCACGAAUCUGAAUACUCAAUAUAGUUGGAGUCUUGAUGACGGUAAAACAGGUGGUCUAACCGACACACGCGAUUACACGAAAGUAGCAAAGGCUAAACUUUAUCUAAUCAAAACCCAAGGCUCCAUGGGGGGGCUCAUGGGGUAUAAAUAGGAGGGGAACUAGGUGGUUUUCGGACAGCCCCUUGAGGGACUCCGAAACGGCCUAGGAAUCCUCCUAAAACACAACGAAAACAUCUAAAAAUUGGCUGGACCCUAUUAUAUGGCCUUAGGCCCAAUAAAGUAAGGUUAUAACCCUCAUCUUUGGCCCACAGAUACCCAUUGGAGGGAGAAUCCUCCACUUAGCCGAAAUCCCAUUGAUGAAGAGGAUGCGGCCUUCUUCUCAUCUCUCGUUAUGGCGGUUUCAAUGUUCUGAAAUCAUCACUUGAGCUAGCUCCCGCCACCUUGCUGCCACCUCCAUGGUUUGCUGUCCAACGCUGAUCCUUGAGGUGCAAGCUAGGUCCUUCAUUCCUAAAACACAUAAAAGAACCCAUCUUAGGCAGCAGCAUAUUCUCAUUAAUAUUAAAUGAAGUACCGAGCAACGAAAGUACCUGAUAAUUUAGUUGUCGUGCACGAGCUCUAGUAAUUGGUCCGUGUAUCUCCGGUACUUGAGGUGUAUGUGCUGUAGGGGCUGUGGUUGUAUCAUUAGUUGGGAUGUCCUCAUCAAAAGGGAAUGUCUUCUUACCCUUCUUCUUCCUCGCGACCCAAUCUCAAGCGCUCAAGCUCUCUACCUCCAUAGCCAAAGACUCAUUACGAGUUUCACCAGCAACCAAGAAGCUCACACCAUCCAGAGAUGGGCAGGACCAAGGCUUCGAGUUCGAAGACCGACGCCGGCAAGGGAGAUGCUGGCAAAUGGAGCCAUCCCCUGGCCGGGCGUGUCUGACCAGCGCACCAAGAUCCUGGAACUACAGGAUGAAGGCUUGCUGCCGGGAGGCCCUGGCGGGGUUCGCGUCCCGGCAAAGGAGGAAUACCCGCGACCUCUGCUAGGUGAGCGGGUUAUCUUCAUCGACUACGUGUUGCGGGGGCUUUCUUUUCCCCUUCAUGCCUUUUUCCGUGCCAUGCUGUUAGCUUAUGGGCUGCAGCUACACGAUCUCCCCCCAACUCUUAUUUGCAACCUCAUCUCCUCCUCCUUCAUCUAAGAAGACCAAGACAGGCGGACCACCGCCUGUCCGACGAUUUGGCCUAUUUGGCCGAAUCACCCAGACCAAGUAUGUGGUCUUUCGGGUAGUAGUUCUUAAAUAAUGCAGUUUGAUUUCUGAACUAGGAAAUUUCUUUUGUCAGUUUCGUGGUCUCGGGUGACCAACCAACAACCCAGGCUAUUGAGCCCACAGGGUCAGACCCGAAGGCUUCGGGUCCCUCAAUCGUCAUUGAGACGAUUGAGCCUCAGGUAGCAAUGCUUGAGGCACCUUCUCUAGGAGUGGCUAACAUCAACUCCAAGGGUUGCCCCACUCAUCGACUUGCUUGGAGAGCAGCGGGAGCCGAAAGGGCUCCCUCAGCUUCAGCUUGCCAUGUAGGUUUCGAACUCUUUUGUUAAAAAAUUUUGUUCUCCCGGUGGGAGUAUGAGUCAGAUGCUGACGCCAUCAUGGUCGCAGCCAAUCGUCCGCUCCAUAAUGGAGUUUGUUGAUCGUUUUGAGGAGGCAGUGGCUGAGUGAGAUCAGCUUCGCCAAGAAUUGGAGCGGAGCCAACAGGAGCUGAGAUCUGCUCAAGGUAAUACCUCCGACUCAAUCUUUAUUUGAGUCGAAAAACUAUUGUAUCUUAUUGUUUGUCGUGUAGACCUCCUUUCUCGGGCUAACUCCCUCAAAGAUGCCGCCGAGCUUCAGUUGAAGAAUUUGGAGAAAAAGCUUGCUGAUCUGGCCAAGGAGUCAGCAGAAAAGUUAGAGGCUGAAAAAAAACCUCGCCUAGGAAGCUUUGGACACCAUUCUUGCCAAGGAGGCCGAGAUGAAGAAGACGCGAGCCGUCCGACUCAGCGGAGUCGUCGGCCCCUUGCAGGUAAAAACGUCGCAAUUGAUUCCAUUCCUUUGAAUGCUUUGCUAAUGCUUUGGCUCUUUUGCAGACCUGCUUUCCUUCUCUGGUCUUUUGACCUUGAGUUAGGAUUCACUCGACAAGGUGAUUGACACUGUGGCAAGCGUCAGCUCGGAAGCGGUGAUUGGUCUCUGGCAAGCUUCUAGGGUGCUCGCCGGUUUGUUUGGGAAGAUGUUUCCUGACGAGCCGGUGCUGGAGUCCCUUGGGAAACUCAUAGAGUUUUUCAGUGCUGACCCGGAUCUCUUGGACGAGUUCAGCCGGGUCUAGACCAACUCCGGUGCGGAAUCGACAUUCGUGUUGGCAUCGGCGAGGACGUGCUGCGGAAGGUGGCUUCAGGUCCUCCGUUGUUACCCAGCAGGGAGGAGAUGGCCUUGAUGCCUUACUUCCAGCUUGGGGAAGAACUGGCGACCAUGGCCACUGAGGGGGAAGCAGCUCCACAGUCGUCGACUCAUGCGCCAAGUCAGGAGGUGGGGCAAGGUUGAAGUUUAGACUUCUUAGGCUUUCUCCUUUUCUCUUUGUAAUUUCUCUUUUUUCGUACGGUCCUUGCUCGAGUGUGAGCGUUAUUAAUAAAGAAACGCCUUUGUUCCUUUGUACUGAUAUGAGUCUGUCAUGGGGAUGACCCCGGGUAGGGUCAUGACGACACGUAUUAGCCGGGAUAGCGAGGCAAAGCCGACGUAAGCAAGUACGCCGGCAUUGUUAGGCCGACUUUAUAACCAGUCGGCAUACCAAAAGCAUGCCGGCAUCUCUAUCUUGUCUUAUGUGAUUGUAGGAUAAGUACGAACUAUCUAAUCUCAGCUAGGGCCGGGAUACACCAACGGUCCUAUCUUGGUCGCAUGGCGCAAAGUAAAGCAGCGCUCCCUUUAUGACGGAAAAGCAGUCGUUGCUCACGUCACUGUGCCGGACGACUGCACAGUGACGUGCCGUUGAAGGACAGGUGAAGGCCAGGGUGUGGCUAUAGUGCGCGCCAUCUGGCUGUACGUAAAGCACAAAGCAACCUUGUCCCCUCCCGGACAAUCCGGAGGGGACCAUGGGCGUACCCGGGAGUAGCUAGGGUUUGCUUUCUGCCCACAUGUCAGUGUCACAUCUUUAGCCUAUAAAUAGAGACUCCACCCCUCCUGUGAGAGGGGUUCCUCUCUUAGACAUUAGGAGUUCUCCUUCUUCUUCUUCCUCCUCUGGACAUAGCUCAAGGAGUACCAUUGUAGCCCCUUGUAUCUCGGCUAAUACAAACAAGUCAGGAGUAGGAGCUUUACCUCAUCUAGAGGGCUCCGAACCUGGGUAAACACCGUGUGUUCUUACUUCCGUGCGUGGUUUACACCGUGCCAUCCCUCCUCCGGAUCCUCCUUCGUCCAUCGGCCCCAUCUUAAGCCAUCCCAUGACAUCUGCCGUGACACCACCACGACAGUUGGCGCCCACCGUGGGGCCAGCAGCAGCGUUGGCCGGAGUCUUCAUCCGGACGGGAAGCUUUCUGGUCAUCGGAGAGCGCGUCGUCUCCGGUUUGGUCCAGAGAUUCGGCUCUCUAGGCUUCAUCGACAACAACACAGGUUGCUUCAACAAUGCGCCACAGGCCGCUUCAUCAACUUCGGUAUGCAUGAGGUCUAUGUCGCCACUGACACUCCUUGUAGGUAUCCCGUGCAGGUGGUGGUGGCCGAGGAUCCUCCUGCCAUCUAAAUGGUUCGCGGUCGGCAUGUCAACUGCGCCGCUAGCCGUGUGGAGGUCAUGAUGACGGCUCAAGGCGGUGAUGCUGGCAAGGGCGCUACAGAAAGUGCCGGACUCCCGAGCAAGUCCGGCAGAACGGCGCGACCCCUAAUGGAGAAGCCGGAGAACAUCGCUGCUCAGGCCGGCACAUCCGCUGCGCCGGCAAAGCCAACUCCGCUCCAGGCCGCCAUUGAGAGGCCGAUGUUGCCUGUGGCUCCAAACACUAACUCGGCCCAGUUGCAGGCUGAGCUAGAGUUGGAACGCCAGAACCUGCUGUAGGAAGCUGUCGACGUGGCUCAUGCUCGGCAGGAGCUCGAGAUUUCACUUCAUGAGUAUAACAAAGCUCAUGGUCUCAAUUCUACUGCAGUGCACAACCCUAGCCGAGUUGGGAAAGUGCGUAACCAAGGCAGAAAUUUGAAUGCCGAGAGAGAUAGGGAUGGCAGAGCCAUGCCUGUUGUGUCAGCAAGCUAUGUGUCGGCACUAAAACCGAAAUAUAGCACCCCUAUUCAGAACCUCAGGGCAACCGAGGCUGCAGCAGAAGAGUUGACGAAUCUCACGGGAGAGGCACUCCGACUGCAGCAGUUGCGUGUGAAGGAGUUGCUUCACACAGCUAACGAGCAAAACGAGGCGUACAUGAGGUUGCACGGCAAGCCUGGUGCAUCUCAGAUCAUUCAUUUGGCCGCAGGUGCUGGCGGCCGGGCUGACAAGCAAGCGUCUUCACCUGGUGGCAGACGGGAUAAGAGUGUCAACUCCGGCCGAGACAAGCGGCUAGAGCAUUAUGACCUGCCGAGUGUCGCUCUUGUGGAUCUCGAUGUAGGCCACUUUGACCAUCAUCAACUCGCCUGACCAUUUGCUUUCCAGCUGCGUCCGGCGCCCAAUACUGCUGCAGGUCAGCAGGGUGCCAGGCACAACCCCCUAUAUCGAGGUGAACACCGCCGGCGAGACCGUUACAAUGACGGAUACUCGGCUAUGGGAGAUGAAGACUAUCUCACGCGAGAGUGCGACAAUGUCGGCCCACUUGGAGCCCGAGUGGGAAACCGGCAAGUGUCGCUGCUAGAUGCCCGACAUCGGCUCGACAGAAUCUAUCUGUCAGAACUUCUGGAAGAGCAAGGCCCUCCGGGACCGCGUUGUUUUGCUCACCGGAUCAUGAGAGAGACACCAACCCAGGGUUUCCAGAUACCCAGGGGCAUGAGAACAUAUGACGGCAGCACAAAGCCGGAAGACUGGUUGGAGGAUUAUGUCACUGCAGUGCAUGUGGUAGGUGGCAAUCGCAGAUGAGCAGUACGUUAUGUACCCCAAAUGCUGGUAGGGCCAGCCAGGAUCUGGUUGAAUAAUCUGCUGGAGGGCAGCAUCAAUUGCUGGAUAGAUUUUGAGGAAGCUUUUGUCAGCAACUUCACCAGCACCUACAAGAGGCCUAACCGCCCUCAGCAACUAUCCAUGUGCAAGCAAAGGGACAACGAGACUGAUCGAGACUACCUGACAAGAUGGAAUAACCUCCACAACACCUGUGAAGGGAUAGCGGAGUCGCAGCCCGUAGCAUGGUUUGCCCAAGGAUGCCGACAUGGCAGCAUGUUAUGGCAGAAACUGCUGAGGGAAAUGCCGGCCACUUUGUCUGAGAUGAUCAAGAUUGUGGACAUGUAUGCACCGGGUGACCCAACUCAGCCAUCGCUGAUGCCGGCAAAGCAACACAAAGAGCAGCCGACAUACAAUCCUGCCGGAGUAUUCCGGAGAAAUGAUCAUCAAGAUCAUCGGAACAAAAGAAGGGACGAUAGGCUGGAUUACUGGUAUGUGUCGUCGCUCGGUGCUCCGACACCGGGGGCGUGUGGCCACGUCCCCCUUUUAGGUUCGGUAGGGGCGUCUGGGGCAGAGACCCCCCUACGUCCUGCCUGUCUGAGCUGAUAUUGAUUACGGGUCAAAUGUUUACAGGUUACAGGGCAAGCUCCCGGGCUUUCUCUCAGUGGCUAGGCGCUCCUCACCGCUCUCUGCUGGCUGCCCACUGGAGCCAGUAAGCAUCUAUCGAGCGAGCUUCGUCCGAACCAACUAACUGACCAACUUCCCCAACCGUCUGACCCGUCAACCCUCUCACCCCCUUGGCCGUUGGCAUGGGUCCUCCUUUUAUACACAAGGGGGUGCCACAUGUGCCACGGUGCAUGGGCUACAGGGAGGCACGCAACUCUCCCUGGUGAGCUGGUGGCAUGCAUGGGUGCCACCUCUGCCGCUAGGGGCCUAAGACCCUAGGGUAGGAUUGGACAACCACUGUUCCUUGGAUCGGACGGGUAACUACCCGUCGGUCGGCUCGUUUACUGAGCCACGCGCCUUACUCCUUGCCCUGGUGGGACCGCACGUUCCGCGCCCGUCACGCGCCCGUGUGGCGCUGUCCAGUGGGCCCCAUGACCCGAGGCGGGGGCACGCGUCCGGGAACCCCCAGUCCCCGCAAGUCGGCCCGGGAAGCACCCGGGACCAGCGCACCCGGGAACCUCCUCCCGGGAAGCAGCUUCCCGGGAGCUGCCUAAGCGGGAAUAUUCCCAAAAGCCCCGCGAGCCCCUUGCAGGCUGGUAGCUUGCCGGGAAGCUCGUUGGCGCUCCCCGGGAUGAGACCUUCCUGGGAACCCGGGGGAGGGGGCCACGCGUCGCGCAGCAGUGGUACCCCGGGUGCCACUGGUGCAACAGUAGCCCCCGGGCGUGGGCCGGCAUCACCUGUUCCCUGAAGGGUCUCUUCCUAGUCGGUUGCCGGGCUACGCCCUUAACCGACGCGUGGGCCCCCGAUCAGUUGCGGGCCCGCGUCCCUUCGCUGCCGCGUGUAUGGCGCCGCCAAAAGCGGAGUAGUGGGCGCGAGAUUUCCGCCCUAACUCUCCCCCCUAAAUAGGGUAGUUAAGGUCACUCCGCGCAUUGCUCCCGCGCACCCGUAGGGUACGGAACCGGCCGUUAACAAAUGACCGGGCGUCAUAAAGCUUCCACUGUUGGCAACGGGGAGCAACACUUCGCCCUUUUGCCUCCAUCCUCUUCCGCAUCUCCAAUCCCUGCGCUCUUGCCAGCCUCCGACCUCGCCCCCCAUGGCGCCCCCCACCACCAGGAAGGGGAAGGAGGUCCAGUCUUCGAAGAAGCCCGCGACCAGCAAGACCGAGGCGGCACUCAAAGCGGCCGCCGCCAAGGACCAGAAGAGGCGGGAGAUGCGCGCAAAAGUAGCCUUAUUCCGCCCCGGCUACAACGGCGAGGCGCUGGGGAAGCUCCGGCACGCCGUCGCCUCCAACUUCAACGAGCACGGGGAGACGCGGAUCUUCCCGGCGGGCGUUGAACACCAGGAUAACGACUUCCGGGUGUUUGCACGCUUCCUCCUCUGCGGCAUGGUGCCGCCCUUCUCUCUAUUCCUCCACGCGCUGAUGGCGUCUUAUCAGGUGCGGGUGGCGCAGCUCCACCCCACCUCGCUCUUCCUCCUCGCCACCUUUCAGUUCCUCUGCGAGGCGUUCGUGGGGGUGAUGCCAUCGGUGGGGCUCUUCCGCCAUUACUUUUACCCGCGCAUCGACAACGCGAAGGCGAUGUCGUCGGGGGUGGUUUUCCGCGCCCGCGACCAGAUGAAGUCGGAGUUCAUCGUCCGGUCGGCGAAGAAGAUCGAAAAAGAGUGGCGGGGCGACUGGUGGUGGGUCCGAGUGGAGGACCCCCAGGAGUUCAUCCAGCCGCCGACGGAGCUGCCGGUGCCCCAGAUCGGCUGGCAGGAUAGGUACCACCGCGACGCCGACCUCCUCCCCAUCGUGGAGAAGAUCAAGGCGUUGCGGCUAGCGGGGCUCACAGAUGCCGACGUGGCGCGCACCUUCGUCCAUGGGCGCAUAGCCCCGCUGCAGCUGCGUUCCCGGCCCGCGUGGAUGUACACGGGCUCCGGGGACAGGACACGCCUCCAGGCGGACGGCAUGGACUUGGAGUCCCUCAAGACGUGGGUGAAGGGGAUCUCCGGCGAGGUCUUCCAGUCAAUAGAGUUCCCGCUGUGGGUCUCCGCUCUCCAUGCCGGCGUCAAGGCGCUCAGCGACAUCGUCGGCGCCUUCCCGCCCUGCAACGAGUGGGGGCUGAUGGACGACACCCCCACCCGCGUCCCGCACGCUCCCCCGCAAGCACCUCGCGGGAAGUAGGUGCUCGAGGAGAGCGAGGGCGGGUCCGAGCCCAGCUGGCCCUCCCUUCGGUCGCUGGAUGACGAGGCAGGCGAGGUGGCUGCGUCCCAGGAAGUCAUCGCCGUGGAGCACGACGAUGAGGAAAGCAGCGACAACGCGCCCCUGAUCCUGAGAAGGUCGAGGGCGUUCGCGGCGGCCGCAGCCACUUCCUCAAUAGCGACGUCCGCCCCGGCAGCGGUCCCCAACCUGGCGGCGGCCGCCGCUCCUAGGGCGCCCGUUGGUACCACGACGGCAUCCGCGGCAACAGGGGCCGCGAGUGCCCGGCGGCGGCCCCUGUCUUGCCGGCGGCCGCCAGCUCCGCGGUGGGAACCGGCCCCGGGGUGCUCGCCGGUACCCCGGCAACGUCAGCACCUGCGGGGGCCAUCGGCGCCCCGGCGACGGCCUUCGCUUCGGUAGCGGGGGCCUCCGUGAGCUUGGCGCCCGGCGUCGCGGCGGCAUCGCCAUCGACACCUGGAGCUCUCCGGUUCACGACGACACCGCGGGCGCCCACAGUGCCGCCCGCUCGGGGGGUCUUCUGGGGCUUCGCGCUCCGGCGCAACCCUCCGAAGUCCUCCUUGCCGGCGGGCGCCCGCAAGAGGGCGAGGAGUGAUUCCCCGCCUGGCUCGCCAAGCAAGAGGACGUGCGCGGACGCUGGCGGCGCCGCCGACCCCGCUGCCUCGGGGGCCAGCGUCGGCGCGGGCGCGCCCCUUGGCGACCCAGCCCAAGCGGAGAGAGAGCCGACACCAGGUAUGUCUUCGUCGAUUCUCUGCAACUGCAAUUCCUGCUAUCCAAAUUCACAAACAUACCUUUUCUUUCUGCAGCGAGCGGCAGCUCGCCCGCGGCAAGACCAUUGGACGCUCCCGCUGGCGCAGGCGAGGUAGUGGAGGCUGCACCGGCAAAGCCCGACGGCCGCACAAGGUAACCGCCCCGGUCGCCCUUAUUCGCCUUCGAUAGCACCAACCAUCGCCGACCCUCAUGCUUUUCCACGAGUGCAGGCACAAGUGUGCCCGUGCCCGGAACAAGCGUGGUCGUGGUCGUGGUCGACCCCGACUCGGUCGUCGGGACCGCGGGGGCGGAGGUGGAGUCAGAAACGGCUCCCGUGUCUGCCCCCGCCGAGACGGACACAGCGGCAGCAGUGGGGACCGCCGCCGCCGCGACGGCACAUGGCGACGCACCCGAAGCCGCGGACGUGGCCGGCUCGGGCUCACCCGCCGUCCAGCAGGGGACGACCCCUGCCGGAAGCAGGGAGCCUUCUCCAACCCCGGUGUCCCGGAGCCUGGGCGCGGGGGAAGUUGUCGGGGAAGGACGGCAAGACCCGCGGGAACAAGUGGGCGACCCCGCACCCAGCUCCACUUCGGCAGCUGGGGCUUCAUCAUCCUCUGGGGCCCUCCCCGGCACCGACCUCGGCACCCUCGUCGGGGUCGCUUGGAAUCCUCUUACCUGGGAUCCGAGCAUCUUCGAGCGGGGGCACCGGUUUCUGGACGCCGUCCGGGACCAGCAAUUCGCCUUCGUCACCUCCUACAACGAGGUGAGGGAGCGCCACACCGCCGCCAAGAAUCAACUCGGCGAGGUGCGGGAGGCCGUCGAGAGAGAGCGGUGCGAACUCUCCCGGCUGCGCGAGGAGGCGCGCCUCGCCGAAGAGGAGGCGCGGCUGGCCUGGCAAGCCCUGGAGGUUGCUCGGGAGCCGGUAGUCCCGGAUACCGAGCUCCGUCGGCAACUGGAGGUCCAGCGCACGGAGCUCCAAGGUAGGCUCGACGCAAUGGCGGCAACCCUAGAAGCUUCCCGGAAGGAACAUGCCGGGGUGCUCACGACGGCCCAGGCGCGGCUGGACGAGAAGAGCGAGCUGAUCGCCAACUACCGCGGCGAAAUUGAAGGCCUCCGCGUCCUGCUGGAGGUGCAGGUCAAGGCCGCCGAGGGCGCGGCAAGAGCGGCGACUUAGCACGAGGCCGAGCUCAACUCGGUCAAAUGCAAAGCGGCCGGGCUUGAGGACGAGUUGGCCGCCGUCCGGGAAGAGCUCGCCAAGGCCGGCGAGGCCAACGCGACCCAGGCCUUAGAGCUUGCGAAGCUGGAGGGCCACGUCAGCAAGGCCAAGAAGGCCGCGCAGGACGCCCGACUCUAUCACAGCACGCUGAUCGGGCAGCGGCAGCUCGAGACGGAGAAGCUGGCGAAGAUCGCCGAGUCGCUGCGCGACCUGCUGCCCAAGUUCGAGCUGCAGGCAGCGGAGGUGGAUGGCACAGACGUCACGACGCUGAUCCCCUUCUUCUCCGACUUGUUGGGGAAGCUCGGGGCGCUCGACGUCGGGAUCGCCAAGUAUACUCGUUGCUUCCCCUGUACCUCCUUCUUGUUUGCUUUUCCUGCAAGUAUGGCGCUUAGCGCCGUUUGGACAGUGACCUUUUGAUUAGUCCAUGUAACCACUCGACACGUAGUCAAUCAAGCUUGUUAGUUUGCUCAAUUUUUGUCCUUUAUUCCCGAGGCCGCCUCGCGGGGUGGUUCCCUUAACCUGUGCGUGUCUUGCCUUGUGUUGCGGGGGGGACUCGCGCACGCCUCACCCUUGACCAGACCAGGGACCCGGGACGGACCCGCAGUGCCGACCUGGGGCCAAGCGGAAGCGGGGAGUCACUCCGCUUGCGGGGUAACCACUCCAAGCCGUGUCCUCCCGGGGUGACCCGGGAGCCACACGGGGAGCGCACUCCCCCCGCAAGCAUCCCUUCUGACACUCCGGCUACGCGUGGGAUCCGGGGCCGCACCCAGCAGGGCAGUGCUCAGUUUCGUUCAGCUCUUAGUGAAUUCAGCGUUCAUGUUCAUAUACUUAGCUUUUCGGUUUGGUCCAACGUUCCGCGAUGCUCUGCGGUAGAGUGCAAACGGGGCGCUAUGAUAUGGACAUGCUAACCAUGGAUACGACCAUUAGAACCCUAAUUGUUGGUGUCUCUAAUAACUAUAAUCAGGUGAAUUCAAUUACAAAAUGUUUUCAAUAUGUUACUUGCAAAGAGGCGGAGCUACUAUCUUGUGUAAUCUUAUUAUGUAGGCAUCUUAUAGAACUUUACAAGUCCAAAGUGAAGAUGAAGUGUUAUAGCCUGCAAAGGGAGAUUCAAAGUGAAGCCUAUCAAGUCUACUUUCCAACAAAUCAAACGGCACAUGAUUCGGAGCUUGCUAGAGAAAUAUAUCACGAAUUAAAGUUGAAUCCGAUUCGGGUCCGAGCUGCCAGGAGAUCCGAAUUUGUUUUAAUCACCCAGGCCGCAUCCGGAGUCCAAAUCAAGCAAACAAGUACUUGUUGGAAAGGUAAUUACGAGACCUUUCCAACGGAUCUGGCCCCAUCAAGAGAUUCCACUCGUGCUGACCGUGGCGGACGAAACAAGCUGACGGAUCAGUUUUUCUGUUUCCUAAAGAGUUGUAGUUUGUUAGGAAAGUUAGAGAUAGAGUUGGAUUUCGGACUCCUUAUUCAAGGUGGACGAAAAUAUCUCUCCCUCCUCCUUUAUAUACCCCAUGAGCCCCCCUAAGGAGCCUUGGGUUUUGUUUAGUUAAAAGUUAGCCAUCGCUACUACUUCGUGUAAUCGCGUGUGUCGGUUAGACCACCUGUUUUACCGCUUUCGGAACCCCAACUUAUCGUCUCGUUGAGACAUUGGUUUGAUAUAGUAUAUUCGCAAUUUUAGAUUGCAUCCGCUAUUUAUCUUGUUCUUGCUUGUUCUUCGAUUACUUGCAGGAACAAAGACCUUCGUGGUCAGGUUGAUCGUGCCCCCGCGUGAUCAAUAACCCUUUGGAGUUGGUGUAUCGAUUGCUAAGGCGCUGCCUCCUAGGCCGUAGUCGGAUCGUCAACGUCACCUCCUACCCAAAUCGAGAGUUACCAAUCUCAUCGAAAGAUCGGGCCACCCGCACCCGUAUCACGUGGUAUCAGAGCUUAAGGUUGCUCGGUGAGAUUUUUCCAGUUUAUCCAUAGUUUAGAUCUGUUUUUACCUAUCGUCCAGAAAAAGCCAAACAAAAAUUAGAAUUAGUUACCUUGUCCUAGAACCAAUCUGAGCCUUGCAAUUUUCACUUUAGUAUUUGCAUUGUUGAAUCUUUGCUGCAUUAAUCGUGUCGAGUUGCUGGAUUAGAUUGGAUCGUUUUUCAGAUUUUUUCUACUAGAUCGAACUUGCUUUUGGUUUUCUUGUUCUUCGUGUGACGCAGUUUUCCUUCAUCAAUCUUCCGCCGCCAAACUUCCUGCCACACCACCGCCAUAAUCUCUCGCUGCCACCAUAUCUUCCACCGAGUCCCUCUUCGAGUCCUACACCGAGUCCCUCUUCGAGUCCUAUACCGAGUCCCUCGUCGAGUCCUACAUCGAGUCGGCAAGUUAUAGUUUUCAGCCGCGAAUCCGAGUCCGAGUCCAAUAAGGACUGCUUUUGGAAAGUGUUUCAUCAUAGAUCGAAUUUUGUUUAGAGAUCAAGUUGUUCGGAAAGUUGUCAAAAAAAAAAAGAAAGGAAAGAAAAAAAAAAAAAAAAGAGAAAGAGUUCGAGUCAGUUUCGGACCCGAGUCCGAGUAGAAUUUUAGUUUCGGGUGGGUUUGACCCGUGUUCAGUAAAACGGGCGUAUCUUUUGCGUGCCAACUCGGAUUUGGACGUUCUUGGACUUUUUGGAAAGCUCACGACGAGGCGCAUCAGGAAAUAUCCAGGGCGAUGCCCUGCACUUUGACCCCCAAAUUCGGUUUGUAAGGUGGACUUUCUGAGCUUCCAAGUUUCUGCAUCCGUUUUCCGGCGUCGCUGCAGCCCGGUGUUUCUCAGUUUCCUCCACCGUCCGACAUCCGUUUUCAGUGAUCUUGCCCUUGCUAGAAAGCUUGUGUCGAUACGCUUCUAACCCAUAUUUUUCCAUAUUUUUCUGAAAUUUUCUUACUGCAGCCUUUGCUGUUCUUCGACAGACCGACGUACAUUUUUCCGGUCCUUCUUUUGCGUGAGUUUCUGGGGUUAAAAAAAAAGAAAAAAAAAAGAAGAAGAAAAGAAUAAGAAGCCAAACAGAAGGCCACAAAAAGAAAAAAAAAGAAAAAAAAUCCCAGGGAUUUACUUGUUGUGCCAUCUUUUGAUCUAUCUAUUCCUACCUUCUUCAGUAUCUAGGCUUAGAUUAUUUCUGUAAUUCGUUCUUAUCGACUCCAGCAGCUAGGACUAGCAUUAUUGAGCAUAUUUUCAACUUUGCAUUGCUGAUUUGAUUAUUUGCUAUUCCUUGCUACUCACAAAAGCCUCCAAGCUCCACAGAUUCUACACCUAGGUUGGUUUGUUACCGAGGCAUCGAUACAUUUAAUCUUCGGAGGGCUUGGUCACGCCGCUGGCCAUCACCUUCCUGUUUUGCAUGGUAAGAACUUGUAAGAACUUGAUUUUUAGCUUGAGAGUUGAGCGACUUGUAGCCACAUCCUAGUAGUUGAUAGGAACAUAUUACUGUGAUUUGUUUCUUGUUUUCUACUAACCAUGACAGGACUUACACGAAGCAUGGCAACUAGACCGAUGCUAUCCCGCGACCGCGAUGAGUGCUUUUCACCACGGCCAUCCUCCACGACUCUUGUUGAUAAUGCCAUGGCAACGGUACAAAACAAUCCUUGUAAUACAAUUAAAUUAUGUGUACCUUUCUUUGAGGGGAAAAAUGAUGCUGAAACGUAUAUAGAUUGGGAGCUAGCUUUAACUGCACAAUUCACAUGCUUCCAUGUACUUGAU